UCUCGGGAUCAUUGGCUCUCCUUCAAAGGAGGGAGCGGGAAGUCCCUAGAACUCAGCCUCAGAGGUCUUCACCAUCUUCUAUCGCUCCAGCGCGCCUUCAAGAUCCCAGCUGUUGGUCUGAUGGUUAAGCCAUUCCCUCAUUAGCUCCCAGCGAGUCACCACUAUGGCGCCGCUCACCGCCAUAGUCUUCUCAACAUCGAAGGUCUCCGCGGCGCACCUCAAGUCGCAUACCUCCUCCUCCCGACGCUC
rnacentral:lncRNA from 1 species